rnacentral:rRNA from 1 species
GAUGAACGCUGGCGGCGUGCCUAAUACAUGCAAGUCGAGCGAACAGACGAGGAGCUUGCUCCUUUGACGUUAGCGGCGGACGGGUGAGUAACACGUGGGUAACCUACCUAUAAGACUGGGAUAACUUCGGGAAACCGGAGCUAAUACCGGAUAAUAUUUCGAACCGCAUGGUUCGAUAGUGAAAGAUGGCUUUGCUAUCACUUAUAGAUGGACCUGCGCCGUAUUAGCUAGUUGGUAAGGUAACGGCUUACCAAGGCAACGAUACGUAGCCGACCUGAGAGGGGGUUCGGCCCCACGGAAAUUGGAACACGUCCCAGACCCCUAGGGGGGGCAGCGGGGGGGAAUUUUCAGCAAGGGGGAAAACCCUGACGGGGCAACGCGGGUGGGGUGAAGAAGGUUUUCGGAUCGAAAAACUCUUUUAUUGGGGAAAAAAAAAGGUGUAAGUAACUGUGCCCGUUUGGACGGAACCGAAGAAGAAAGCCACGGCUACUUACGG